rnacentral:rRNA from 1 species
GACGAACGCUGGCGGCGUGCCUAAUACAUGAAAGUAGAACGAGUUGCGAACGGGUGAGGAACGCGUAGGAACCUGCCUCAUAGCGGGGGAUAACUAUGGGAAACGAUAGCUAAUACCGCAAACUGUGAGAGGGACCUGCGUUGUAUUAGCUAGUUGGUGGGGUAAAGGACUACCAAGGCGACGAUCCGGAACUGGUCUGAGAGGAUGAUCAGUCACACUGAAACUUAGACACGGUCCAGACUCCUACGGGAGGCAGCAGUGGGGAAUAUUGGCCAAUGGGCGAAAGCCUGAUCCAGCCAUGCCGCGUGUGUGAAGAAGGUCUUCGGAUUGUAAAGCACUUUCAGUUGGGAGGCGUUACCAACAUAAUAAGCACCGGCUCACUCCGUGCCAGCAGCCGCGGUAAUAC